GAGAGGAGUUGCACCUUCAAACCAAUAGCUCGAAAGGAGACUCGCUUAUGGAAAUAGACGAGCAACAGCAACCUCCGCAAGAAGACGAUCCGUUUCUUGCAUUCGUGGAUUAUGCGAGGUCUGUGCUAUCUCCCAACGAUGAACGGGAAGGAGAAGGAGGAGGUUAUGAAACGAAUGAUCAUGGAACAGAGACCUGUGGCCCCGGUUGGAGCUGGAUCGUGUCUCGGAUCCUCAAGACUUGUAUCACGUAUUCAAGCGGAGUGACUACGGCUAUUCUGCUUUCUGAUCUCUCUCAGGCGUGGAGUGAACUACACAGAAGCGGGGCACCAAGGAGGAGACCAGAAAUCAUCAAUCAGUUGAAGAAAAAACAUAGGAGAACUAAGCUGCCAAACACUAUCACAAUUGACUUUAUAUACGAGAAGAAUUUUUUGUCCUUAAAUAGCAUUUUGGAAGCUGUUAUUGUCGACGCUUUUGUUCUUCCAGGUACAAAUAUUUAUAUGCUUACUUUGGGAGAUUUUUGGAGCUCAAAUACCAUUGACCUUUAUCUCCACCGAAGAUACUGUGAGUUGGUGGAUCCUCGCAAUGGAAUCUUGAAGAAGGGAAGGGAAGUUUUCCUCACAGGAUGCUAUCUCCGAACAGCCAGAGAAGGAUCGGGUUGUCCCCGACUUCUGCCAACAGAAUAUCUUGUGAUUUUGUUAGAUGAUGAUCAGGAUGAUGAUGCCACGCUGAUAGCAGCUCAGUUUUGUUCAGACUCUUUCUCUUCCAUUUCUCUUGAUGAGGCUACCACUGGGGUUUCUUAUUCAUUAUAUGCAAGGAUUGAAUCUAUUGAGUCAAUGGAAGUUCAGGGGGUAUUUGGUAAUGUACAGAGGAAAGAAAUCACUCUUGUUGACAAUGACGGUGUCCAGCUAAAAUUUCUCUUAUGGGGAGAGCAGGUUCUCCUGGCCAAUUUUUUUAGUAUCGGAAGUAUGCUUGCACUUGAUAGACCAUAUAUUGCAAGUUCCAAAGAAAGUGCUGUUCAAACAACAAGUGAACUUUGUCUUGAAUAUGGUAGUGCAACACAACUAUAUUUAGUCCCUUUUGUUCAACAUGAGGAACAAGUGUACGUACCCUUGACCCAAAACCGAUAUCAAGGAUCUAAGAUGAUAAGUGCAUUAAAUCCUACUCAGGGACCUAAAGUUUCACAAGUGUCAUUGCCCUGUGAUUCUCAGGGGUCUAUUGACUUCAGCGAUUAUCCUUUCCGAUCAUUUGUAAUUGAUCUUCGCGACAAGAUGACUAGCAUCAGCCUCUAUGGUAUUGUUACAGAUAUUUUCCGUGAAAGAAAUACCACAAAAGUAAUUUUCUCCUUAAAGAUUGAGGACACAACAGGAGCAAUUUGGGCAAAGCUGCACUUUGCUAGAUCUUGGUCUCUGGGAAGAUUGGGACUCGGUCACACAGUCUUUGUAUCUGGCUUGUCAUGCUAUAAGACAAAACACAAUAGUCUUGAAGUAUCAUGGUUUGAGAAUGAUGCUGGAGCUUCCUUCGUAAGCCUUAGUUGUCUGCCUGCAUUAUUAAACUCAUCUUGUCUUCAACGAUUAUCUCGCCUCUCUGAUCUAUCGCAUGGUUCUAGUUGUACAUAUAUAUGUCGAGUUCGGCUUGAUCAAGUUGAUCAAUGUCAUGUCAGUACAAGAUAUUCACAUGUUAUUUGCGGUCAUGUAGUUAACAAGAUGCCUAAUGGGGUUACUGAAUGCAGUUUCUGCCAUUGUAAUUGUGAUGAAGUUACACGCACUUUCCACUUGAAAAUCACUCUUGCGGAUGAUAGCGCAAAGAUUUUCGCAUGGUGUACUGGUCAAACUGCAACUGAGUUGCUGCAAAUAUCUCCUGAUGAAUUCUAUGAGCUCCCUGAGGACGAACAAUUCAUGUACCCUUCAUCACUGGAGAAUGAGAGCUUCAUUGUUGCAUUGGUAAAUAGCAAGAGAGAGGGUUGUGGCGGUCAUGGUCGAACUCUGGAAACUGAUACAGUUUCUUGGGAGAUCACUCGUGCGCUAAGGUAUGAAUAGGGUAUGUACAAUUGUAGGCAAAAUAGGUAGACUGAUACGGUUUCUUUUUGAAGCUCUCAAUGAUGUCGCUAGUAAAAAAAAAAAUGUAGGCCAAGGGACCGUAGUUAUUAUUUAUUUAUCUUCUUAAUACGAUGAUUGAAUGCGAAGAUAUAUCUCCCGUAGGC
rnacentral:misc_RNA from 1 species